UUAGGAAAAUAUUGCUGUUGGUCUUAAAAUAUAACUCCAGAAGUGGCAUAACUUAAGUAUAGCAGUUACGUGACAAAGAAAUCAACGUUAACUUCUGCUUUCAUAUAGGGUACGAA